rnacentral:lncRNA from 1 species
UCCUUCGUGGAGGCUGGCUACAUUUUCACAACGUCUGGUCCCAAGCUAGAUCUUCGGGAAAAGGGAUCAAGGAAAUGACUAUUCCUCCAAAUAAAAUGCUGCACAUCUUUCAUGGAUUCUGGUCCACCUCGUCCUCACGCGGGGAUGCAGACUGACAAGCUUCCACCAUGAAGGGUUGUCAUUUGCCAUAGCAGGGAGAGGAAAAUGGAGCAAAUCAGUCACCAGCUCGUCAUACAGAAGAGUGUCCCACGUCAUAUCUGCUGAUAUGUUAUGGCCAAAGUACAUGACUAUCUCCAAGGAGCUGAGAGGUGAAAUUCGGACAUUUGUCUGGACGGAGUAGAACCAAGAGAGUCGUAAACAUCCUGUGGACUACACACCGUUUAACAAGAUGCAACAGUAUUCUGGCUUUGCCUUUCCUGGAGCCCUUAAACAGGCUGAAGUGAAAAGCACCAUGACCUGUCACUACAAGACGAGAAGCCUCAGGAGAAGGAAGGAGAUCCCUUUUCAUUGGUUUUGCCGAGUUUCCCGAGCUCCAUCCUCCUACAGUUAAAUCAACACUCUUUAUCCUUAGACUGCUGAUAAUCUCACCAACCGCUUCCUGGUAAGAUCUGUAAUGCGUGAGGUCUUCCUUCUUAGUUGUUUGCAAACAUCAGUGAUUAGGGACAAUUAGGGACUGGUGUGCCUGUCAUUCUUCUCCUUUCAGCUGAGGAGGAAAUCCUCAUGCACCGUUAUCGGGAGUGAGACUUCAUCUGUCAGCUGCAGUCUCAGGAAUCCACGGGUUCAUUCAGUCGCAACUCUAAUCUCACUAACUUUAUCUGUGUUCCUCAAAUGCCUUAGACUAUUUGCUUCCCACUGAUAGGGAAACCUGACAUCUCAUUUUCUCAGUGUCCAGACAAAGAUUCGUACAUAGCAAGAAACUAAGAUAGGUGUUACAGAACAUGGAGGGAACCAGGAAAACCAAAUAGAGGACCCCCUUCAUGGGGCUUCCAACACGACAAUAGGCAAAAGAGAAGAAACAUACAUGUAAGAGACAAGCAAAACCCAGAACCAUCACUUAUGAAGGAUGUCCUCAUCACCCUCUUUUGCUGCCUGUCAAAACCGGUGAGGGCUCAUAUGACACCUUAAUUAUGAAUUAAUCUUCGUUCCUCCUACACCAGCACUUCCCCUCACCCCAGUCGAAGCCAUCU